rnacentral:rRNA from 1 species
GUCUAUGGCCAUACUAGCCUGAACACACCAGAUCUUGUCUGAUCUUGGAAGUGAAGUAGGAUCAGGCCUGGUUAGUACUUGGAUGGGAGAAGGGAACACUUUAGCAGUAGCUA